ACUCUUAGCAGGAGAAAAAAACAAACCCCACAAAUUCCAGCAUAGCUGCUGGGGGACUCACUAGGUUUGGGAAAUUAGUCUUAUAAGAGAAUUCUCCCUAACACAGGACUCUUUCGGGGCCCUGUAAUUGGAAUGAGUACACUUUAAAUCCUUUAACAAGGAUCCACUGGAGGGCAUGUCUGGUUCCAUCAGACACAGUAAUUACAGCUCCAAUAGUGUAUAUUAAAGUUACUGCAGUUAAAAAGCUGGUAGUUGCAUCUUUGGAUUGAGUUGGCGGUCUGUUGUGAGGUGAGAUACUGCUUUGUCCCAGCUUUUCCACACCCUCUUGAUGCUCUGGGCAGUGCCCUGGGGGUCAGAGGAGUUUACUAUGAAAAAACUGGAGUGUUCAAAAUAGGCCGGGAACCUGAAUACUUCUGCUAGGAAUAAUGGAAUAGGACUCUGGUUCUAUUUUUUGGUUUUCAGAACUGGGGUCAUGACUAAGAGGGAUGGCCCGGGGCAUUCAUAUUGUGCCGCUAGAGGUGAAAUUCUUGGACGGGCGCAAGACGAACUAAAGCGAAAGCAUUUGCCAAGAAGGUUUUAAUUAAUCAAGAACAAAUGUCAGAGAUUCAGAGAUGGCGAGAUACCGUCAGACACCCGACCAUAAACGAUGCAGACUGGUGAUCCAGCAGCGUUAUUCCCAUGACCCAACCAGCAGCUUUAAGGGAAACCAAAGUCUUUGGAAACCCCAGUUUUAUCUGUUAAAGUGAAUGAUUAGAGGUCUUGGGGCCGAAAUGGUAUCAACCUAUUCUCAAACUUGAAAAAGGUAAAAAACCUGGCUCGCUGGCGUGGAGCUGGGAAUCAAAUAGGAGUGUCCACUGGGCCACUUUUUGGUAAGCAGAACUGGUGUUGCGGGAUAACCGAACACCAGGUUAAGGCCCCCUAUGAUACUCAUUACACCCCAGAAAAAUGUGUUGGCUGAUAUGGACAGCUGGACGGUGGCCAUGGAAGUCUGAAUCCGCUAAGGACUGUCACAAUUUACCUGCAGAAUUAGCAAGGCCUGAAAAUGGAUGGUGCUGGAUCAUCAGACACAUGAGCAGCGGGGAAUAAGCCAUGAUGAGGCGGAGGGCCGCUGCACUGUGCCCCGGGCUGAGCUGCGCAGGUGCAGAUCUUGGUGGUAGUAGCAAAUAUUCCAUAAAGAACUUUGAAUGCCAAAGUUGGGAAGGUUUCCAUGUGAACAGUAGUUGAACGUGGGUGAGUCGGUCCUAAGAGACAGGCGAGAGCCGUUUGGUAGGGACGGGUGAUGGCCUCUGUUUCCCUCAGCCUAUCAAAAUGGAGAUGGGUUCAGAUCCCGAAUGUAGAGUGGCGGAGACAGGCUCCCUUGAGGGGUCCAGUGCGGUAACGCAAAAGAUCGCAGAGAAGCCGGCGGGAGCCCCAGGCAAGUCUUUGAAGGGCAGGGCACCCUGGAAUGGAUUUGUCCUGAGAGAUGAGCACGAAAAGGGAAAGGGUUGUGAUUCCAGUGGCAUUCAGUGAGCUCUAGUUGGUCCUUGAACAUCUGGUGGAGAUGGUAUAAAUCUUGCGCCAGACCGUAUCUAUAUCCGCAGUAGGUCUUCAAAGUGAACAGCCACUGGCAUGUUGGAACAAUUUAGGUAAGGGAAGUCGGCAAGUCAGAUCAGUAACUUUGGGAUAAGGAUUAGCUCUAAGGGAUGGGUCGGUCAGGCUGGGGUGUAAAGCGGGGAUGGGCACACGCUGCGGCUGGACGAGGUGUCUAACCCAUGGGGGCAGCGCUGAAUCUGGACCCGAGCCGGGCCAUUCCUUUGGAUCAACCCAGCUAUGGUGGCCACCUUUCUUCAUUCCCCUCUCGGGGUUCAGGGCCGGUGUUCUGCCUCAACCGAAGCCUAGCAUUGGACUUAGAACUGUUGCGGACCAGGGGAAUUCGACUGUUUAAUUAAAACAAAGCAUCGCAAAGGUCUGCAGUGAGUGAUUCUGCACAGUGCUGUGAAUGUCAAAGCGAAUAAAUUAAAUGAAGCGCAGCGACUCUCUUAAGGUAGCCAAAUGCCUCGUCAUUCAAGUAGUGACGCGGAUGAAUGGAUCAACGAGAUACCCAUUGUCCCUACCUUAUUAUCUAGCAAAUCCACAGCCAAUGGAACAGGCUUGCAUAAUCUGCAGGCAAAUAAGACCCUGUUGGACUCGACUCUAGUCUGGUACUGUGAAGGGACAUGCGCAGUUUACAAACAUGUGUGGCCGCCGGUGAAAAGCCACUAUUCUCAUUAUUUUUUCACUUACCCAGUGAGGUGGGGGGUUGGGGCAAGCCCUGUGUGGCUCUUACUUCCGGAUCCAAUAGCCCGUCACCUGCCAGGCGCGACCCGCUCCAUGAUCAGUGGCAGGUGAGGAGAUUGGCUGAGGCGGUACACCUGUCAAAUGAUUAUCCAGGUGUCAUAAGGCGAUCUCAGGGAGGACAGAAGCCUCCCGCAGAGCAGAAGGGCAAAAUCUUGCUUGAUCUUGUUUUUCAAUAUGAAUACAGACCACAAAAGCAGGGCCGCCCCAUCCAUCUGAUUUUUGGGGUUUCAAGCAGGUGUCGUCAGAAAAGUUACCACAGAUGUAACUGGCUUGGGACGGCCAAGCGUUCAUAGUGAUGCCGCUUUUUGAUCCUUUGAUGCCGUCUCUUCCUAUCAUAAUGAAGCAGAAUUCACCAAGUGUUGGAUUGUUCACCCACUAACGCGGUUCGUGAGACAGGUUAAUUUUACCCUAACAAUGAUGUACUGUUGCAAUAGUAUUCCGGCUCAGUACGAGAUGACCCGCAGAGUUAGAUAUUUGGUGUAUGCGCUUGGCUGAGGAGCCAGUCGGGUGAAGCUAUAAUCUAGGGGAUUAUGACUGAACCCUUCUAAAUCAGAAUCCCAUGUAAACCAUAAUAGCGCAACACUGAGGAGCCUCGGUUGGCCUACUAAAGCCAGCAUUUGAGCUGAAGUGCACAGCGCUCGCCGCAGGACUCGAUUGU
rnacentral:rRNA from 1 species